GACGAACGCUGGCGGCGUGCCUAAUACAUGCAAGUUGAGCGCUGAAGGUUGGUACUUGUACCAACUGGAUGAGCAGCGAACGGGUGAGUAACGCGUGGGGAAUCUGCCUUUGAGCGGGGGACAACAUUUGGAAACGAAUGCUAAUACCGCAUAAAAACUUUAAACACAAGUUUUAAGUUUGAAAGAUGCAAUUGCAUCACUCAAAGAUGAUCCCGCGUUGUAUUAGCUAGUUGGUGAGGUAAAGGCUCACCAAGGCGAUGAUACAUAGCCGACCUGAGAGGGUGAUCGGCCACAUUGGGACUGAGACACGGCCCAAACUCCUACGGGAGGCAGCAGUAGGGAAUCUUCGGCAAUGGACGAAAGUCUGACCGAGCAACGCCGCGUGAGUGAAGAAGGUUUUCGGAUCGUAAAACUCUGUUGGUAGAGAAGAACGUUGGUGAGAGUGGAAAGCUCAUCAAGUGACGGUAACUACCC
rnacentral:rRNA from 1 species